rnacentral:lncRNA from 1 species
AUGCUCCCUGCUUUAGUUACAUGUCUGGAAGAGAAGACCCAGUUAUCUGCCAAAGCCAUCAGCCUGCAAGCGCUCGCAGGAACUCGUGUGCUCUCCCUGCUGAUCUUGCUGGUUUUGCAAGGAAAAGCACUCCUGGCUGCAGAGGACGUCUGGUGCUCACAGGAGGGACGAAGCAGAUCCAAAACUGUAGAUUUACACGUCUCUGGAGGGGAGCAGGGACCGCAGCCGAGAGCCCGGUGCUUUGCCAUCGCUGCUGUGUGCUGGAGUGAGCCGGGGCAGCUGCCGGAGGACGCUGGAGGCAUUGUGCUGCCGGACAGGUUUGAAGGCUGGUGUUAAUGAGCUGGUGUUAAAGGGCUGGUGUUAAUGGGCACCCUGAUGGUGAGAAGUCAGCACUGGAGCCGAGCCGAGCCGUGCCGGGGCUGGAGCUGGGGGUUCUUCCACGUGGCUGUCACCGGAGAGUGAAGAGUCAAGCUGCAGUAACUCCCCGGUGCAGACAAGAUCCUGAACCGCAUCGCUUUAAUUACGCCAGCGCAAAUUUCAUUCAUUUGGUUAAGCCUGGGAGCUACAGAAAGAGCUAUUUCCAGGUGUGCUGGUUCAAUUAUUGCAUGCCCUGCUUUCCCCACCGUGCACAGCUGCAUGGCCGGGGUUUGUCGGGCUCUCCGGCUCCGGGACGAGUUCGCAGCCAUCAGCACAGCAAUGGCCCCACUCACGCCUCUGCACAUCCCGGCACACGG